rnacentral:RNase_P_RNA from 1 species
GAGUCGGCCAGACAAUCGCUGCCCCGAACAGGGGGAGAGGAAAGUCCGGGCUCCGUAGAGCAGAGUGCCAGGUAACGCCUGGGAAGCGUGAGCUUACGAACAGUGCAACAGAAAGUAUACCGCCGCAAGGUAAGGGUGAAAAGGUGGGGUAAGAGCCCACCGCGCAGCUAGUAAUAGUCUGUGGCAGUGAAAACUCCACUCGGAGCAAGAUCAAAUAGGUUCCCGUUAAUGCUGCUCGUAUUGGGAACGGGUAGAUUGCUUAAGUCAGCAAGUGAUUGCUGAAUUAGAUGAAUGAUUGUCACCGCAAGGUACAGAACCCGGCUUAUCGGCUGACUCA